rnacentral:rRNA from 2 species
AAGUGUGAUCAUACCAGCACUAAUGCACCGGAUCCCAUCAGAACUCCACAUUUAAGCAUGCUUGGGGGCGAGUAAUAGUAGGAUGGGUGACCUCCUGGGAAGUCCUCGUGUUGCAACUC